GAGUAUAGAUCUGCACAACCAGUACCCAGGAAAUCUCGGAAGUCGCACACGUGGAAAUACUUUACAAGUAUUUGGUAUAGGAUCAAAGCAGAGAUUAAUGGGACGAAAUACGAGGAUUCAAGUAAGGGGAGUCACGAUUUCUUGAUCAGAAUAUACGGACCACCUUGUACAGGAGUCAGAAGGGAAUAGUAAUUUGCGGAAAAUAGAACGGCUGGCGAACCCAGUGAUGGCGAGUACAGGAAAUACCGCUACAUGCCCUUACCGAGUUCUACGAGUUCUAAUUUAGUUACUCGUUGGUUCUACGAGUUCUAAUUGAGUUCUACCCGUCUUGCUUGAUUGUCCAAGAUGAUCCUCACGAUGUGAUUUUGGAUAUUACGUUACCGUCGUCAUUGUAUAAUUUUUGUACACAACUUUAUUGGUGAAAGAUACAAAUGCAAACGGAGUGCCUUAUUUUCCUACGUACUUUUCUUCAUCAGAUAAAGAAGCUUUCUAAUCCCCUUAGGAAAAAUGUAGUUGAGUGCUCUAGCAACCAAUUGUACAAGUACAGUUGAACUGCUACAGCGCGCUGUAUCGUUUUUAAAUCUUUCCCCACUUAAUG